CCUACGGGCGGCAGCAGUGGGGGAUAUUGCACAAUGGGGGAAACCCUGAUGCAGCGACGCCGCGUGGGUGAAGAAGUAUUUCGGUAUGUAAAGCCCUAUCAGCAGGGAAGAAAGAAGACGGUACCUGACUAAGAAGCCCCGGCUAACUACGUGCCAGCAGCCGCGGUAAUACGUAGGGGGCGAGCGUUAUCCGGAUUCACUGGGUGUAAAGGGAGCGUAGACGGCCGUGCAAGCCAGGAGUGAAAGCCCGGGGCCCAACCCCGGGACUGCGCUUGGAACUGGGCGGCUGGAGUGCGGGAGGGGCAGGCGGAAUUCCUGGUGUAGCGGUGAAAUGCGUAGAUAUCAGGAGGAACACCGGCGGCGAAGGCGGCCUGCUGGACCGCGACUGACGUUGAGGCUCGAAAGCGUGGGGAGCGAACAGGAUUAGAUACCCGGGUAGUC
rnacentral:rRNA from 1 species